CAAAAAGAGGAGCCAGAAGGUGAAGAAGGGUCGUCUUGGAAUUUGGAGCCAGCAGAGAAUAGGAAAGUGAAACCAAUAGGAGAGGGGAUCUGCUAUUCAGCAGGUGAAGGCAAUGCUCACUCUGCCCCCUGAGAGCCCACCAGGAGAGGACAGAAGGUGGGCUACACGGUGUCCCUGCCAAUCACAAGGGAAAAUGCCAUAGAAGUUGCUGAUUAAGAACCAUGAGAAGCAAAGGGCAGAGGCUCAGGAAAUCCACUGUAAAGGAAGGCCACCUGCAUCCAAACUGAUCAGAAAGAGGGCACAUGGGGGGAAAAAAAAGCAGUCCCAAGAUGGAGUCUCGUCGAUACCAGCCAGGCAAGUAUCUAACCGUGGCUAGUCUCCACACCCCAGCCCACCUGACCUCUGGUCUCCUCCCCAGUGCCCUGGAUGUGUGUGCUUUAGUAAGAAAGUGAUGGUCGUUGCUUCCAAUCUGGAGUGAAAUGCAGGCCACAGAAAGAUGCUUGGGCUCACCCUCAGUUCCAAACAUGCAUAGUGACGCGGGAGUCUCUUACGGCCCUCGCUCCCCCAGACAGAGUUCUGCAAGCUGAACAGGAAGAGGCUCUCAGCUGUGUCCUUGUCCCACUUCUCCCCCUUCUACUCUCCUGCCUUCCUUGAUUGACGACCAUUGUUAAUAACUCCCAGCCCUCGCACUGGCAUCGCCUUUGCCCUAGAAAACCCUGCACUGCCGAAAGUACCGAGAAAUUGAAACCUCCCCCUUAAGAAUACUGGGAACUGCCCAGGCCACUAAAGUAUUCAUGUCCAGUGAUCCACCAAAUGCCUGAGAGCCAGUGUGUCACCUAUGGUCACAACACCCUGAACAGGUGCAGGAGGCCAGAUCGCCAGGCUGGCACAGAACCCAGCACUCCGGGAGCCCAAGAGAGCACUCUCUCUCUCUCUCUCUCUCUCUCUCCCUCCCUCCCUCCCUCCCCACCCCUCUCUCCAGGACACACACUGGCCUGGAAUUCACCAUGCCCAACUACUACAGUCUUCAGUACUGAGCAAACCCAGGCAAACAAAGCCCCCACUGUGUGCCCCAUCCUCACAGAGCCUGUGGCCAGAGUCCCUUCGUGUGUGGACUCUGCUGCCCCAUUGAGAAGAUCUUGGCUGAAAAGGGACAGACUGCUCCCGUGCUAGAAGAGGGGGUGACGUGGAAGCAAAGGACAUCCUAGAGGAGCACGCGGCCCAGGAAUAAAGGCAGUAUACAAUACAUGUAAAUGACAGGCCUAAAAGGAGAGUCCUGGGGUCGUAGCUCAAGUGGUAGAGUACUUACCUACCGUGUAGGAGGCCUUAAGUUCGAUCCCCAGGACUAGCAGAGAAGGCAGAGGGAGAGAAGGAAGGGAGGGGGAAAGGAGGAGAGAGGGAGGGAGGGAGGGGGGAGAGGAGGAGAGAGGAGUUCUAGUCCAUCAUGCCCACAGGAUCUCCAGUAUUCCUAUUUCCCAGAAGUAAUCAUGAAUUUACAUAGUCACCUUUUAGUCCUUCUGGUUAAACCCAUACAGAUCAACAGCCUGUGUUGUACCACAAACCAAGCAGAACAGAUGGAAUCCAGAAACUUCUUGGAGUGGCCUCACCUGAGCCAUGCAGUGAGGAGCCCAGGGCGCCUGGUUUCCCUCUGUGCUCAUCCCUAUGAACGGCUCAUCCCGAUGACUGGCGAGGACCGCUAACUCUAGGAGCACCGCUAUCCUUUAAGAAAACCCGAAAUGCACAGUGAGCUGUAUUUCGUCCUUGAAGACGAAACACUGGGCAGAUUAGAGAGAGUACAAAAAGGCCUUUUGUAGACUCUCUGCCCCCUGCUAAUUGCUGGAGACAAUAUAGGGCACGUGGUUCUGCACACUCGGAAGACUCCUGUGGUGUGUUUUCCUUGCUGCCUGAGCUGGACGCAAGCUGCUGUGCUUUUGUGUGGAUCAACAGAAAGCAGACCAACAGCGCCAACAGGAAAGAGCUAGCCGCAGCCGUGUCUGUGUGCACGUUCCCCUCUGCCCUUAGCAUCCUAAAGGGUUUUGACCUUCCAGCCUGGAGUGAGGGUGUGAUUCUCUGCCCUUGGGACAAGUGGGGAAGCAGAGGCAUUGUGAGUAGGGGCCUCCCUCAAAGCUUCAAAGUCGGCUAAUGGGGCUGGGAUCUUGGGGUUCAGCAUGGCCUCUGCCUUGACCAGCUGGUCACUGCGGAGGGCGGAGUCUUUCUCACAGCCUUCUCUGUCUUCUUCCUUGUUUCUCUAUUAAGUCUAUUUUCAACAGUGCUUAACUUGUCCUUUUUGUUUUUAAAUUUUAAAGUUACAUUAUUUAUUUACUCACUGGGGGCUGUGUCGGGUCAGAAGCCCUGGAGUCAGUUUUUUCCUUCACCAGGAAUCAAAUUUAAAUCAUCACGCUUAGUAGCAAGUGAACUACUUUUAGCCACUGACCCCCCCCCUUUUUUAUUCAUGACUGGUUUUGCUUUUUUGGAGACAGGGUCUCAUAUAGCCAAGGCUAGUCCCAAACUCACUGUGUGGCUACUGAGAAUACCCUCCUGAUCAUCCUACCUCGGUCUCGCAAGCACUGGGGUUACAAGUAUGCACCACCGCACCUGGCCUUAAAAUGCAUUGUUUUUUAUCAGUAGUGGGGAUUGAAUCCAGGGCCUAUCGAAGGUGAAGGCGAGCGCUCUUCCUCCAACUCACAUCCCCAGCUCUCACAUCCUCCUUCUUAAAGCAACCUCCCCACACCCCCAGGACUGUCCUUUUCCUUUCAAUUUCACAUUUAAAUGGCUGAACCAAUAAAGUUCCAUAUGAGCACAAACAAAGACAUCAUGAGACAAGAGAGCCAUGUCUGACGCUGUUUGACCAAGAAAGCAGUUAAGUCAGAACCCAGAGUGUUUUACAAGGUGUCCCGUUGUCCUUGCCCGUCCACCCCCUUACUGAGACUGUGGAUCCUUCUGUAAGAGGGAGACACCAACAGGACAGCAUUCCUCUAUGUACCCCGUAACAGGCAUCCUUGAGCUCACCAUAUUCAAUCCCAUAAUGCCCCUCUCCCAUCACAACUCCAUCACAGCACUGCUGCUCUUUUCCCAGGAUUGGUUAUCUGAGAUCUCCCGAAAAAACAAAGCAAAACAAAAACCCAGGAGGCCAUUGCCAACAGGUGUUCACGAACCAAAGGCCUGGAUCCUAGGAACCCCGGGACCAAGAACAGCCUCCUUGGUCGGUUGAUGGUGCACACUCCUUCCAGGGGUUCAUUUUUGGUCAUUGCCCAGGAAGGACAGGAGGGUAGCAAUGUGCAAAUCUCUCUCUCUCUCUCUCUCUCUCUCUCUCUCUCUCUCUCUCUCACACACACACACACACACACACACACACACACACACACACACACACUGGGAUUUGGGGCCUUUGUUGUUGGUUGUUACUCUGUUCUCUCCUUUUCUCUCUCUCUUUUUAUAAGCUCAGGGAAGUGACGGUUGAUUAUGACUUAACACAACUUAAGAUUUAGAUUUUAGGAACGAAGCUCUACCCUAGGCAGAAUCAGGGCCUACUGAUGCAAGCUUUUAGCAGGGAAAGUGGACAACAGCCGCCAAAAGUCCACGUGUGAGUGCCCUUAGACCAGUGGUUCUUACAGAGUUCUCUACCCAAGGUCGUGGUGCACUGGGGAAACUAGGAAAGGGAA